rnacentral:tRNA from 1 species
GCGAGAGUGGUGGAACUGGCAGACACGCAAGACUUAGGAUCUUGUGCCUCCGGCGUAGGGGUUCGACUCCCCUCUCUCGCACCA